UGGGGAAUCUUGCGCAAUGGACGACAGUCUGACGCAGCGACGCCGCGUGGGGGAAGAAGGCUUUCGGGUUGUAAACCCCUUUCAGAAAGGACGAAGCCACUCAGGUGAAUAGCCGAGAGGGUGACGGUACUUUCAGAAGAAGCCCCGGCUAACUACGUGCCAGCAGCCGCGGUAAUACGUAGGGGGCAAGCGUUGUCCGGAUUUAUUGGGCGUAAAGAGCGUGUAGGCGGCCAUGUAGGUCCGUUGUGAAAACUCGAGGCUCAACCUCGAGACGCCGAUGGAAACCAUAUGGCUAGAGUCCGGAAGAGGAGAGUGGAAUUCCCGGUGUAGCGGUGAAAUGCGCAGAUAUCGGGAAGAACACCCGUGGCUAAGGCGGCUCUCUAGUACGGUACUGACGCUG
rnacentral:rRNA from 1 species